rnacentral:rRNA from 1 species
UACAGAGACUGCGAGCGUUAUUCGGAUUCACUGGGCGUAAAGGGUGCGCAGGCGGCCGAGUGUGUGAGGUGUGAAAGCCCGGGGCUUAACCCCGGAAAUGCGCCUCAAACUACACGGCUAGAGCAUUGGAGAGGGUAGCAGAAUUCAUGGUGUAGCAGUGAAAUGCGUAGAUAUCAUGAGGAAUACCAGAGGCGAAGGCGGCUACCUGGACAAUUGCUGACGCUCAGGCACGAAAGCGUGGGGAGCAAAAGGG